UGGGGAAUAUUGGACAAUGGGCGAAAGCCUGAUCCAGCCAUGCCGCGUGUGUGAAGAAGGUCUUCGGAUUGUAAAGCACUUUAAGUUGGGAGGAAGGGUUGUAGAUUAAUACUCUGCAAUUUUGACGUUACCGACAGAAUAAGCACCGGCUAACUCUGUGCCAGCAGCCGCGGUAAUACAGAGGGUGCAAGCGUUAAUCGGAAUUACUGGGCGUAAAGCGCGCGUAGGUGGUUUGUUAAGUUGGAUGUGAAAUCCCCGGGCUCAACCUGGGAACUGCAUCCAAAACUGGCAAGCUAGAGUAUGGUAGAGGGUGGUGGAAUUUCCUGUGUAGCGGUGAAAUGCGUAGAUAUAGGAAGGAACACCAGUGGCGAAGGCGACCACCUGGACUGAUACUGACACUGAGGUGCGAAAGCGUGGGGAGCAAACAGG
rnacentral:rRNA from 1 species